rnacentral:rRNA from 1 species
UACGUAGGGGGCUAGCGUUGUCCGGAAUCAUUGGGCGUAAAGAGCGUGUAGGCGGCCCGAUAAGUCCGCUGUGAAAGUCCAGGGCUCAACCCUGGAAUGCCGGUGGAUACUGUCGGGCUAGAGUCCGGAAGGGGCGAGUGGAAUUCCUGGUGUAGCGGUGAAAUGCGCAGAUAUCAGGAGGAACACCAAUGGCGAAGGCAGCUCGCUGGGACGUGACUGACGCUGAGACGCGAAAGCGUGGGGAGCGAACAGG